CGUGUAGGCGGUUUUGUAUGUCUGGCGUGAAAGCCCCGGGCUCACCUCGGGAAGUGCGUUGGAAACUGCAAGACUAGAGUCCCGGAGAGGAAGGUGGAAUUCCAGGUGUAGCGGUGAAAUGCGUAGAUAUCUGGAAGAACACCGGUGGCGAAGGCGGCCUUCUGGACGGUGACUGACGCUGAGACGCGAAAGCGUGGGGAAGCAAACA
rnacentral:rRNA from 1 species